rnacentral:rRNA from 1 species
GUAGUCUCGCACAGAUGCAUAUCAAUAAGCGGAGGAAAAGAAACUAACAAGGAUUCCCCUAGUAACGGCGAGUGAAGCGGGAAGAGCUCAAAUUUGAAAUCUUAAAGGGUUUCCCUUUACGAAUUGUAGUUUAAAGAAGUGUUUUCUGUUGAGGUUUUGGUAAAAGUUCUUUGGAAUAGGACAUCAUAGAGGGUGAGAAUCCCGUAUUUGACCUUUACUUUCAACUUUGUGAUACACUUUCAAAGAGUCGGAUUGUUUGGGAAUGCAGUCCAAAAUGGGUGGUAAAUUUCAUUCUAAAGCUAAAUAUUGGCGAGAGACCGAUAGCGAACAAGUACCGUGAGGGAAAGAUGAAAAGAACUUUGAAAAGAGAGUUAAACAGUACGUGAAAUUGUCAAAAGGGAAGCGUUUGACACCAGUGUUGUUUUUCUGAAAAUCAAUUAAAGAACUGUUUAUGCUAAGCUGUUUAGACUUUAUCAGCUAACUGUUUAGUUUUGAGCUUUUCUUUAACGCACUUUUCAGUUAACAAGUCAACAUCAAUUUCUUUUGCUGUAAAAAAGCUUGAGGAAGGUGGCUUGAGAUUCGUCUUAAGUGUUUAUAGCCUUUGCUUCUGCAGUCGGAGAGAUUGAGGUCUGCAGCGUAGAUCCUUCGGGGUUAAAUGCAUUUGUGCUAAGUUAUAGCCUUUCAUAGACAACUUGUUGACUAUGAUCUGUCAUGUAGCUUACUCGCUUAUGUUAUUUUACCUACGCUUAGGAUGUUGAAGACUCUACAGAGAUA